GAAUAACUAACCCAGCCAUUAAUAUUUAUAACUAUUAGCACUAUGUAAUAGAUGCUACUUGGAAACAAUAGAGCACCUAUUUCUCCAUUAAAGAGUUGCCAAAAAUGAAUGUUCCAAGUAUUUGUAGUGUUAUAUAGGUGAUGCCUCAGAAUGUGAGAUUUAUUACAAAGUUGGCAACAACAGGUUACUCCCAAAGAAAAUAAGCAGAUACGAAGGACUAUUCAUGGUGCAUAUUCGGUAAUAUGGCUAGAGAGGAACAAGACUUGGCUUGAAGGACAAAGAUCUCUUAAAUUUGGAGUCAAAAAUAGGUGUUCGCAAAAUUUGCUCGUCUGGUGUAGAAGUAGUUCAAUAGGUAGUUUGAACCAAUUAAUGAUAUCCUGGAUUUGUUAGGAAGGAAAGUCUAGUAGUCUGCUUUUUUCUAAAGCUUUC
rnacentral:lncRNA from 1 species